rnacentral:rRNA from 1 species
UACGAAGGGUGCGAGCGUUAUUCGGAUUAACUGGGUGUAAAGAGCGUGUAGGCGGUUUGUUAAGUCACCUGUUAAAGAGCUCAGCUUAACUGAGCAAAUGCGGGCGAAACUGGCAGACUAGAGUGCGAGAGAGAAGAGUGGAAUUCUCGGAGUAGCGGUAAAAUGCGUAGAUCUCGAGAGGAACACCGGUUGCGAAGGCGGCUCUUUGGCUCGUAACUGACGCUUAAGUGCGAAAGCGUGGGGAGCAAACAGG